UGCAGGAGAGGAGGAUGAAGAAGAAGAAGAGCCCGAGACAAAUGAUGGUGCUGAAAAUAAUGACGAUGAGGAUGGUGAGGAUGAUGACGAUGAGAAUGACGAGGAUGAUGACGAUGAGAAUGACGAGGACGAGGACGAGGAUGAGGAUGAGGACGAAGAACCAGACGAGGACGAGGAGGAGGAAAUUCCCCAGCCACCAGCAAAAAAGAGGAAGGACGAGGAGGAAGACCCAGAAGAGGAUGACGAGGAGAUUCCCCAGCCACCAGCUAAAAAGAGGAAAUGAG
rnacentral:lncRNA from 1 species